GACGAACGCUGGCGGCGUGCUUAACACAUGCAAGUCGAACGGAAAGGCCCUGCUUUUGUGGGGUGCUCGAGUGGCGAACGGGUGAGUAACACGUGAGUAACCUGCCCUUGACUUUGGGAUAACUUCAGGAAACUGGGGCUAAUACCGGAUAGGAGCUCCUGCUGCAUGGUGGGGGUUGGAAAGUUUCGGCGGUUGGGGAUGGACUCGCGGCUUAUCAGCUUGUUGGUGGGGUAGUGGCUUACCAAGGCUUUGACGGGUAGCCGGCCUGAGAGGGGGACCGGCCACAUUGGGACUGAGAUACGGACCAGACUCCUACGGGAGGCAGCAGUGGGGAAUAUUGCACAAUGGGCGGAAGCCUGAUGCAGCAACGCCGCGUUCGGGAUGACGGCCUUCGGGGUGUAAACCGCUUUCGCCUGUGACGAAGCGUGAGUGACGGUAAUGGGUAAAGAAGCACCGGCUAACUACGUG
rnacentral:rRNA from 1 species